rnacentral:rRNA from 1 species
UAGCUAGUUGGUGAGGUAAUGGCCCACCAAGGCGACGAUCGGUAGCCGGACUGAGAGGUUGAACGGCCACAUUGGGACUGAGACACGGCCCAGACUCCUACGGGAGGCAGCAGUGGGGAAUAUUGCACAAUGGGGGAAACCCUGAUGCAGCGACGCCGCGUGGAGGAAGAAGGUCUUCGGAUUGUAAACUCCUGUUGUUGAGGAAGAUAAUGACGGUACUCAACAAGGAAGUGACGGCUAACUACGUGCCAGCAGCCGCGGUAAAACGUAGGUCACAAGCGUUGUCCGGAAUUACUGGGUGUAAAGGGAGCGCAGGCGGGAAGACAAGUUGGAAGUGAAAUCCAUGGGCUCAACCCAUGAACUGCUUUCAAAACUGUUUUUCUUGAGUAGUGCAGAGGUAGGCGGAAUUCCCGGUGUAGCGGUGGAAUGCGUAGAUAUCGGGAGGAACACCAGUGGCGAAGGCGGCCUACUGGGCACCAACUGACGCUGAGGCUCGAAAGUGUGGGUAGCAAACAGGAUUAGAUACCCUGGUAGUCCACACCGUAAACGAUGAUUACUAGGUGUUGGAGGAUUGACCCCUUCAGUGCCGCAGUUAACACAAUAAGUAAUCCACCUGGGGAGUACGACCGCAAGGUUGAAACUCAAAGGAAUUGACGGGGGCCCGCACAAGCAGUGGAGUAUGUGGUUUAAUUCGACGCAACGCGAAGAACCUUACCAAGUCUUGACAUCCUGCGGCGGUGCUGGAAACAGUACUUUCCUUCGGGACGCAGAGACAGGUGGUGCAUGGUUGUCGUCAGCUCGUGUCGUGAGAUGUUGGGUUAAGUCCCGCAACGAGCGCAACCCUUAUGGUCAGUUACUACGCAAGAGGACUCUGGCCAGACUGCCGUUGACAAAACGGAGGAAGGUGGGGAUGACGUCAAAUCAUCAUGCCCUUUAUGACUUGGGCUACACACGUACUACAAUGGCGUUAAACAAAGAGAAGCAAGACCGCGAGGUGGAGCAAAACUCAGAAACAACGUCCCAGUUCGGACUGCAGGCUGCAACUCGCCUGCACGAAGUCGGAAUUGCUAGUAAUCGCAGAUCAGCAUGCUGCGGUGAAUACGUUCCCGGGCCUUGUACACACCGCCCGUCACACCAUGAGAGCCGGGGGGACCCGAAGUCGGUAGUCUAACCGCAAGGAGGACGCCGCCGAAGGUAAAACUGGUGAUUGGGGUGAAGUCGUAACAAGGUAA